CUUUCUCCUUGACCUCCACCUCAGAGAUAGCGACAUUGGUGACGAGCUUUAGGCUGGUGGAGCUAGAGCCCUCACCGACCGUGAAGGUGAGUGCGGUGCCGCACGAUCCAACAGCCAAUAAUGCCGCCAGCACCGCCGCGGCGAGCAGCAAGGAGGAGGAGGAGGCCAUUGCACGAGGUAGCUAGUUAGUUGGUAUUACCUUGCUAGUUCCUUGAUCGAUAGAGGGAUGGAUGGAUGAGUGCGGCAUCUAUUUUACAGCUAGGUGCGUAUUUAUGCUUUGUGGAGGCAAGAAAGCCAUGCAUGGAUGUUUGGUGCAGCAAAGAG
rnacentral:lncRNA from 1 species